ensembl:rRNA 5S_rRNA 5S ribosomal RNA
UAAAGCAACCAAACUUCCUCAGGCUAAGAUCUCGUCAGAUCUCAUAAGCUAAACAGGGUCAGGGUUGGUCAGUACUUGGAGAGAAACCACCAAGGAAACCCAAGAUGCCCCAG